rnacentral:tRNA from 1 species
AGAGCUGUGCCUGAACGCCCAAGGACCACUUUGAUAGAGUGAACUACGAGGGUUAAAACCCCUCCAGCUCUU